rnacentral:rRNA from 1 species
GAUGAACGCUGGCGGCGUGCCUAAUACAUGCAAGUCGAGCGAACAGACGAGGAGCUUGCUCCUCUGACGUUAGCGGCGGACGGGUGAGUAACACGUGGAUAACCUACCUAUAAGACUGGGAUAACUUCGGGAAACCGGAGCUAAUACCGGAUAAUAUAUUGAACCGCAUGGUUCAAUAGUGAAAGACGGUUUUGCUGUCGCUUAUAGAUGGAUCCGCGCCGCAUUAGCUAGUUGGUAAGGUAACGGCUUACCAAGGCAACGAUGCGUAGCCGACCUGAGAGGGUGAUCGGCCACACUGGAACUGAGACACGGUCCAGACUCCUACGGGAGGCAGCAGUAGGGAAUCUUCCGCAAUGGGCGAAAGCCUGACGGAGCAACGCCGCGUGAGUGAUGAAGGUCUUCGGAUCGUAAAACUCUGUUAUUAGGGAAGAACAAAUGUGUAAGUAACUAUGCACGUCUUGACGGUACCUAAUCAGAAAGCCACGGCUAACUACGUG